ACAACGAUGAUGAUUAUAGAGACCUGAAAAGAUUUGCGGAAGUGAUCGCAACUUUAUUAAACAUCUAAGGGACUGAGUUGAU